rnacentral:lncRNA from 7 species
AAUUUGUUCAUAGACAAUCCCUGCACACAGAUGGGGAGAACAUAUUCUAGCAACUGCCACUGACUUCCCUCUAUCUGAAGAAUCUUUGUAGAGAUGCUGGUGUGCUGGCUUCAGGUUGUCACCCCAUGUAUGGGCAGACUUCACUGCAUCUUCCUACAGUCAACACAGUGCAAGGAAAAGGGGCUCCCGAGGAUCUGCUGACAGCACUGAGCCAAGUGUGAACUGCACCUGGAAUGGCUGGAGUCUGAAAUCAGAGGUGGUGAAGGGAACAUAUGCCCUACAGCACAUCUGCUGUUGCCAGCAGUAUCACUUGGAAAUCCUCUGUUCCUGCAGAACAGCCAAUAUUGUACACAGCAGCACAGAUGAAACCACACUGUUUGCCUCUCCAAAGUAACUCUCGAGAGAGGAGCUGAAGUCCCGCUGUUUCUGUGUCCUUUCUGAAGACCAAAGGAGAAACAGAGCAAUCCCUUUGCAAGCAGUGACACUUGUUUUAAAAAAAACUAACUAACU